UUUCUGUUAAUUUGCAGAGGGUGCCUUG
rnacentral:piRNA from 1 species